GUGUGUAGUAGUGGUGGUGUGUAGAGUAGUGGUGGUGUGUAGAGUAGUGGUGGUGUGUAGUAGUAGUGGUGGUGUGUAGAGUAGUGGUGGUGUGUAGAGUAGUGGUGGUGUGUAGUAGAGUAGUGGUGGUGUGUAGAGUAGUGGUGGUGUGUAGUAGUGUGGUGGUGUGUAGAGUAGUGGUGGUGGUGUGUAGAGUAGUGGUGGUGUGUAGUAGUGGUGUGGUGGUGUAGUAGUGGUGGUGUGUAGAGUAGUGGGUGGUGUGUAGUAGUGGUGGUGUGUAGUAUGUGUGGUGUGUAGAGUAGUGGUGGUGUGUAGAGUAGUGGUGGUGGUGUGUAGAGUAGUGGUGGUGUGUGUAGUAGUGGUGGUGUGUAGAGUAGUGGUGGUGUGUGUAGUAGUGGUGGUGUGUA
ensembl:lncRNA